rnacentral:rRNA from 1 species
UACAGAGGACUCAAGCGUUGUUCGGAUUCAUUGGGCGUAAAGGGUGCGUAGGUGGCGAGGUUAGUCAGGUGUGAAAUCUCGGGGCUCAACCCCGAAACUGCACUUGAUACUGCCUUGCUAGAGUACUGGAGAGGAGAUUGGAAUUUACGGUGUAGCAGUGAAAUGCGUAGAUAUCGUAAGGAAGACCAGUGGCGAAGGCGAAUCUCUGGACAGUUACUGACACUGAGGCACGAAGGCCAGGGGAGCAAACGGG